GCUUGACAUGGGUUUUGAACCUCAAAUAAGGAAAAUAGUGCAACAGAUGGACAUGCCUCCGCCAGGUGUGCGACAGACCAUGCUUUUCAGUGCCACUUUUCCAAAAGAGAUUCAGAGACUGGCCUCAGAUUUUCUAUCCAGUUAUAUCUUUUUGGCCGUCGGAAGGGUCGGCUCUAGCACAGAUUUGAUUGUCCAACGAGUUGAAUAUGUUCAAGAGACUGACAAGAGAAGUCACUUGAUGGAUCUUCUUCAUGCGCAGAAGGAAAAUGGUGUUCAUGGCAAGCAAGCUCUUACCCUUGUUUUUGUGGAGACUAAGAAGGGAGCUGAUGCACUGGAGCAUUGGCUUUGUAUGAAUGGUUUCCCUGCUGCUGCUAUUCAUGGUGAUAGAACUCAGCAGGAGAGAGAGCAUGCCCUCAGAUCCUUCAAAACUGGUUACACACCAAUCUUGGUUGCA
rnacentral:misc_RNA from 1 species